AUGAAUGAUUAUCUAAUGGCUCCUUUUUCUGCUGAUGAUGUCUGGAAAGCUGUUUUUAGCAUAGGGGACUUAAAAGCCCCAGGGCCAGAUGGUUUACAUGCUUUAUUUAAAAAAAAUUUGGCAUAUCUGGGAGAAUAAAUUACUGAAGCUGUCUUGAAUGCUAUCAACUCGAAGCACAUUCCAGAGGAAUGGAAUGACACUUCUAUAGUGUUGAUUCCUAAGGUGGACUCUCCCGAGUUGAUUACUCAGUACCGUCCUAUAAGCCUAUGCAAUGUUUUAUACAAGAUCAUAUAAAAAAUGCUCGAUGUUCGUCUAAAAAGUAUUCUACCAGAAAUUAUUUCCCCCACUCAGAGUGCUUUCGUUCCUGGUAGAAUGAUUACUGAUAAUAUUCUUGUGGCUUAUGAGUGCAUCCACAAAAUUAAGAAUAGAAAGAACAGUUAGUCGGGCGUAUGUGAUGUCAAACUGGAUAUGCAUAAAGCAUAUGACAGAGUGGAGUGGGUUUUUCUGAGAAAUAUGAUGCAUAGGUUGGGUUUUGAUAAUCAGUGGAUUGAGCUUAUUAUGGAGUGUGUGAGCUCAGUAAGAUACAGGGUGCGGUAUAAUUCCCAAGAAACAGAUAUGUUCACACCAUCCAGAGGGAUUUGGCAGGGUGAUCCAUUAUCACCUUACCUUUUCUUGAUUUGUGCAGAAGGUCUUUCUAGCAUAUUGCAGUAUGAAGAAGAAGUUGGUGGCAUAGAUGGGAUAAGAGUGUGCAGGAAUGCACCGUCAAUUUCACACCUUUUAUUUGCUGACGAUUCUCUGAUUCUCAUGAGAGCAGAUAUGAUUAAUGCAACUUCCUUACAGGAGUUGUUGGAAACCUAUUGUGACAACUCGGGACAGUUGGUAAGUGUGAGAAAAUCUAGUAUUUUCAGCCCAAAUACUAAUAUGCAAGCUAGAGAUGAGAUCUGUCAACAGUUGAAUAUUACCAACCAAGCUCUGUCAGACAAGUAUCUUGGGCUGCCUGCUAUGGUGGGAGCUAAUAGGAGUGAUUGCUUUAAACAUUUUCGUGAAAAAAUUAAGAAGCUUUUGAAAGGUUGGAUGGAGAAGCAACUGUCCACACGUGGUAAGGAAGUCUUAUUAAAGGUUGUUGCUCAAUCUAUACCUGUGUUUGCUAUGUCUGUUUUUUGCUUGCCAAAGGGGGUCUGUAAGGAUAUUACAGAUAUCAUUGCUCAAUUUUAGUGGGGAGAUGAAGAGGAAAAUAAAAUAUUGCAUUGGUUCUCUUGGUGA
rnacentral:rRNA from 1 species